AACCUGCCCAAGAGAUCGGGAUAACACCUGGAAACAGAUGCUAAUACCGGAUAACAACAGAUGAUGCCUAUCAACUGUUUAAAAGAUGGUUCUGCUAUCACUCUUGGAUGGACCUGCGGUGCAUUAGCUAGUUGGUAGGGUAACGGCCUACCAAGGCGAUGAUGCAUAGCCGAGUUGAGAGACUGAUCGGCCACAUUGGGACUGAGACACGGCCCAAACUCCUACGGGAGGCAGCAGUA
rnacentral:rRNA from 1 species